rnacentral:rRNA from 1 species
AACGAACGCUGGCGGCAUGCCUAACACAUGCAAGUCGAACGAGACCUUCGGGCCUAGUUGCGCACGGGUGCGUAACGCGUGGGAACCUGCCCUUAGGUUCGGAAUAACUCCCCGAAAGGGGUGCUAAUACCGGAUAAUGUCUUCGGACCAAAGAUUUAUCGCCUUUGGAUGGGCCCGCGUUGGAUUAGCUAGUUGGUAGGGUAAAAGCCUACCAAGGCGACGAUCCAUAGCUGGUCUGAGAGGAUGAUCAGCCACACUGGGACUGAGACACGGCCCAGACUCCUACGGGAGGCAGCAGUGGGGAAUAUUGGACAAUGGGCGAAAGCCUGAUCAAGCAAUGCCGCGUGAGAGAUGAAGGCCUUAGGGUUGUAAAGCUCUUUGACCCGGGAUGAUAAUGACAGUACCGGGAGAAUAAGCUCCGGCUAACUCCGUG